UGCUUAUUCUGAAGACACCUUCUCUUGGGGAGCAGGUAGGAUCUCUCUUGGAAGAUAACACCCAGACAAGACUGGAAAAGGUUGAAUGCUGUGAUAGUGAAGAACCACAAAGACAUUGCCAUGGAACCAAAGAAUCGCACAGUUACUUCCACAUACCCAAAUAAGCACCAGGUAGACUCUGUGCUGUUCCUACGGCCGGGAGGCAAACCAUUAAAAACUUGGGUAUGCAAGACAGGGCCUUUUUGGCCACUGCUCACAGGCUCUGGAAUUCACUCCCUUGAGAGGUAUGUCUGACCUCCUUGCUCUUGACCUUCUGAAGUGGUGGUGUUGAAAACCAUUUUUGUUUGUUCAUUCAGAAUGCGUCUAGGGUGAGUGUUUAAUUUUAUUGCUGCAUUCCAAAUUCCUUCUGUUGUAUUAUUAUUAUUUUCUGCUAAUUUGGGUGUAUUUCUAUGAGGACUUGUUGGCAUGGCUUCUUUUUAAUGCCUGUUUUCUUGUCAUCGUGAACAGCUUUAGUUAUUUCCCUC